rnacentral:rRNA from 1 species
GCACAAGCGGAGGAACAUGUGGUUUAAUUCGAUGAUACGCGAGGAACCUUACCUGGGCUUAAAUGUAGAGUGCAUUUUUUAGAGAUAGAAAUUCCCUUCGGGGCUUUCUGCAAGGUGCUGCAUGGUUGUCGUCAGCUCGUGCCGUGAGGUGUCGGGUUAAGUCCCAUAACGAGCGCAACCCUUAUCGUUAGUUGCCAGCUGGUAAAGCAGGGGACUCUAGCGAAACUGCCACCGUAAGGUGAGAGGAAGGUGGGGAUGACGUCAAAUCAGCACGGCCCUUAUGUCCAGGGCUACACACGUGCUACAAUGCCCACUACAAAGCGAUGCCACCCGGCAACGGGGAGCUAAUCGCAAAAAGGUGGGCCCAGUUCGGAUUGGGGUCUGCAACCCGACCCCAUGAAGCCGGAAUCGCUAGUAAUCGCGGAUCAGCCAUGCCGCGGUGAAUACGUUCCCGGGCCUU